rnacentral:rRNA from 1 species
CGUGGGGAGCGAACAGGAUUAGAUACCCUGGUAGUCCACGCCGUAAACGAUGGAUACUAGCUGUUCGGAGCAAUCUGAGUGGCUAAGCGAAAGUGAUAAGUAUCCCACCUGGGGAGUACGCACGCAAGUGUGAAACUCAAAGGAAUUGACGGGGGCCCGCACAAGCGGAGGAGCAUGUGGUUUAAUUCGAUGAUACGCGAGGAACCUUACCAGGGCUUAAAUGGGAGACGACAGUUUGGGAAACCAGAUUUUCUUCGGACGUCUUUCAAGGUGCUGCAUGGUUGUCGUCAGCUCGUGCCGUGAGGUGUCAGGUUAAGUCCUAUAACGAGCGCAACCCCUAUUGUUAGUUGCCAGCGGGUCAUGCCGGGAACUCUAACAAGACUGCCGGUGCAAACCGUGAGGAAGGUGGGGAUGACGUCAAAUCAUCACGGCCCUUACGUCCUGGGCUACACACGUGCUACAAUGGACGGUACAGAGAGCAGCCACUGCGCAAGCAGGAGCGAAUCUUCAAAGCCGUUCUCAGUUCGGAUCGGAGUCUGCAACACGACUCCGUGAAGCUGGAUUCGCUAGUAAUCGCAUAUCAGCCAUGAUGCGGUGAAUACGUUCCCGGGCCUUGUACACACCGCCCGUCAAGCCAUGGAAGCUGGGGGUACCUGAAGUCGGUGACCGCAAGGAGCUGCCUAGGGUAAAACUAGUAACUGGGGCUAAGUCGUAACAAGGUAGCCGUAAU